rnacentral:rRNA from 1 species
GACGAACGCUGGCGGCGUGCCUAAUACAUGCAAGUCGAACGCAGUGGGGACGGGUGAGUAACACGUGGUUAACCUCCCAUCAGAGGGGAUAACCCUUGGAAACAGGUGCUAAACCGCUACUGAUGGAGGGACCCGCGGUGCAUUAGCUAGUUGGUGAGGUAACGGCUCACAAAGGCCACGAUGGAUAGCAGACAUGAGAGGGUGAACGGACACACUGGGAAUAAAACACGGCCCAGAGUCCUACGGGAGGCAGAAGGAGGGAAGCGUCGGCAAUGGACGAAAGUCUGACCGAGCAACGCCGCGAGAGUGAAGAAGGUUUUCGGAUCGUAAAACUCUGUUGUAAGAGAAGCGGUAUCUAACCAGAAAGCCAUGGAUAACUACGUGCCAGCAGCCGCGGUAAUUC